GCUAAAAGUAGUGCAGUGCUUAUACACAUACACACACAUAAAACAUUACUUGCAUAUUGUUUCCUAAUUAAGGUAUAGAAAUUCAAAUUACAAGUGCUUGUUUCAUCAUCAAAAUACCAUACAAAAUAUAAAUUUGCUGAUUCUUAUGAAAAGGAAUGGAUACCAAUGGCUCUGCGAGAGAGAGUAGUCUUCUUAUCAGGGUAACCAUUCUGGCAUGUAAUUAUUCAUACUUGGGCCAGCAUUGACUACUGUUAUUGGAUCAGGCUGG
rnacentral:misc_RNA from 1 species